AGUCAUGCGUGAGGUCGGCGAGUUAGUCGGGGGAGGGCAAGCUUUGGGGGGCGAGGCCAGGGUGCUCGGGAGACGAUGAUGCGUGACGGAGAUGCCUAGGUGCCUGAGAGACCUUAGUUUCACCGUCGCCGUGCGAGAUCUUGGCACCGUUGCUCCAGGACAUUCCCCUUGACACGCACUCGCCGGUGGUUCGGUCCGGCGCAUCCCUGCCCCUUGGCUACUGCAGUCAUCCGGGACAAGCACGAGGAGCUGCCGCUGGUCUGGUUCUCCAGAUGCGCCGCGACCAACUGUUGUUGCUGCUGACCGACCCCUCGCCGUGGUGAGCUGGUGAGGCAUCACUCCAUUUCUACUUUGCUAGUUUUGCACUUCUCUGUUAUGCGCGUGCGACCUCACCUGCUCUUCCCUUGUUGAUGCUUGCGUGUGAGGGUACAUGCUUCCCAAGGCCGCGGCGAUGGCGAAUAUGGUACAGGAGGGCGCCCACUCUGACGGCUUGCUCAACUCGGACGACGACGACCUGCAUGUGACUCUCGCUGUUGCCUUUCCAGAUAAAUGUGUGUCUGCCCGUCAUGCAACAGGGAUCGUUGCUUGGUGGAGACAAGGCUGCAACUAGUUUCAACCUAACCACAACAAGUUUUUUAGCUUGUGUUUGUAGCUAAAAGCUUGAGUAUUUGUUUUUGUGACCUCAAGUUUGUCGAUCUCUUAUCUUUUGGUAAAUGAAUGGGCGAAUUUUUGCUACUUAGGCGGAUGCUUGAUGAAUGGUAGUAGUUUAUCUAUCUAUCUAGUAAACGAGGAGUGGCAAAAGAAAAUCCGGAUGCUAAUUUUUAGGAGUACUUUAUGUGGCUAGUGGGAUAAAUUAAUGUUCGAUCAGUAAGCUUAAGUUUGUGUACUGAAAUAAAUUAAGUGGAUUCUUCCAGCAUGCUUGGGAAUCGGUACAAUCUAUCGAGGCGUUCCUUUUGAGCAAUAUGCAUAGUUGCCCACUUGUUUAAUUAGUUGCCUUCUCAACAUGCUUAAGUUGAGUACUGAAAUUAGUUAACUUGUUUCCUCUAGUAUUCUUAAGUUGUUGGGUAUUGGUACAAUCUAUUUAGGUGUUCCUUUCUGUGGUAGGACCAUGAUGGUCGCCCUCACGAGUGGUACUAGUUCUAAUCCAAUGGGGUAGAACAUAAGUUGUCUUGGUCAUCUUGGUCAACAUGCCUAUGUUGGCUUCUGAAAGUAACUAAGUUGGUUUCGCCACCCUGCUCAAAUUGCAUUUUAUCAUGUUGCUUUUUAAGUACAUUUUUUUUCGUUUUGAAAUUGGCUACUGGAUUAUUAAGUUGCCUUGGUCAACAUGCCUAAGUUGGCUUCUGAAAGUAACUAAGCUUUUUUUUCACUCAGCAAGCUCUAAUUUCUUUUUUUAUCAUGGCUAUUGGAUUAAUUAAGUUGCCUUGGUCAACAUGCAUAAGUUGGCUUUUGAAAGUAACUAUGUUUUUUUUAUCAUGUUUCUUUUUUAAUCAUGAAUUUUCUCUUUUGAAGUUGGCUACUGAAUUAAUUAAGUUGCCUUGGUCAACAUGCCUAAGUUGGCUUCUGAAAGUAACUAAGCUCAAAUGUGUUGUUAUUCUGAUUUUUCUGGCACUAAAAUUUGAGAUGAAUAAGCAUUAUGGUUGUUCGUUUUUGUUUAUUGGUCACUGUGCUUCCUGGUAGCACUGCGCUCGUUCAUUCAUGCUUCUUCAGUUGUUUUAAGUAUAGCCUUAGUUUCUUUUUACUAUAACCCUAUUGAAGCCAUGACUAGCCCAAGUUGUUUUCACUAUAUUCUAAGUUGUGUUCUUUGGUGUUUUCACUAUAGCCUAACUUGUCUUUUAGUUUAGCCUAAGUUGCAUGUUUUUCAUAGCCUAAGGUUCAAGCGGUGCAUUUUGCUCUAUAUCCAUGUUAUUUGUUGUGGUCGUUUUCUUUUUAUGAUAACAAACCAUUGGUGUUGAUGGUCUCUAGUCCUGCAUAUUCUGACAGCAAGAUAAUCUUCCAUGUUUUUGUCCUUCCAUCCUAAGUUGUCUUUUUCCUGUGGCCUAAGUUGCAGCAAAGAUUAGCCCAAGUUGUUUUCACUAUAGCCUAAGUUUCCUUCUUUAGUUGUUUUCACUAAAGCCUAAAUUGUCUUCUGGUUAGCCUAAAUUGAAGUCCAGUACCAUGUUAAUUUUUGUCGUGCAAACCAUAUCACUGAACUACUUUAGGAAGUUGGAAACCUGGAGUUUACAUUACCUCUUCUUUUUCAACUGCAUUUUCUGUUUGAUUGUGUCUGCUAUAUCAUGAUAAGUUACACCUAGGAUGUUUUGUUUUUCAUUGUAUGCAUCUGUCAUCCGUUAAUUCAGACUAAGUUGCUGCUAUGGGCAGAUAGAACAGUUGGUCUGGAGAUUUGCCGACCAACUCUGAUGUGGCAGCUUGAGUGCAAUACUGCGGUUCCAUGUCGUCGACAUCAUCAUCUUCAACAUUCGGUUCGCGACGGUGGCAGCAUUGUCAUGGAAGGAAAGUUGUGUCCAUGCCUCCCCAACAUCCACCAGACGCCACUAAUCUACAAAGCAAACAGAAACUUUGGGAUACCCUAUCUGCAUCUACUAGUGUACUCAGCUCAAGAAAAGAUGCAUCGUUUUCUUGGUAUUUUGUUACUAGUGUACUGUUGAGUGUUGAUGCAUAGACAAUUGGUACUCCCUCCAGGAUUCUCUCCGAAACCCACUUUUUAUGUCUGAAUAAACUGCACUAUGUUUGUAUCUGUGAGGAUGCAACUUAUGUCUUGCCCAGAUCUAGUUCAGGUAA